rnacentral:tmRNA from 1 species
GUCAUAUAUUAGAUCUGCCGGUUCGCCGGCUAUGGCGAUAAAUGGCCGUCGUAAUAAACCAUUCGGACCCGGGGGCGGUACCCGGCGCCUCCACCACAAGCCGCAAUCUCGGGAUGCGCAUGCAGUUCCUUGAGGCGGUUUCUGUGGGGGCGAAAUAGGAUCGACGAGGGUGUAAAGGGCUUGUUUUCGCUCGGCAUGGUUCCGCCGUUAUCGGGCCAUCCAAAUAGUUGCAAACGACAACUAUGCUCCGGCUACGAUGGCUGCGUAAUGCAGCUUGAGUGCCGAAAUAUUAAGUCCUAGGCCUUAGCCGGUCUGGGCGCGGUUCGGAGGGCACCGGGCAACAGAAGCCCUCCACUACA